rnacentral:rRNA from 1 species
UACGUAGGGCGCAAGCGUUGUCCGGAAUUAUUGGGCGUAAAGAGCGUGUAGGCGGCCUGGCAAGUCCGCUGUGAAAACUCGAGGCUUAACCUCGAGACGUCGGUGGAAACCGCCUGGCUAGAGUCCGGAAGAGGAGAGUGGAAUUCCUGGUGUAGCGGUGAAAUGCGCAGAUAUCAGGAAGAACACCCGUGGCUAAGGCGGCUCUCUAGUACGGUACUGACGCUGAGACGCGAAAGCGUGGGGAGCGAACAGG